GAUCAUGGCUCAGGAUGAACGCUAGCUACAGGCUUAACACAUGCAAGUCGUGGGGCAGCAUGGCUGGAGCUUGCUUCAGCUGAUGGCGACCGGCGCACGGGUGAGUAACGCGUAUCCAACCUUCCCAUGACAGGGGGAAUAACCUUGCGAAAGUAAGACUAAUGCCCCAUGGUCUCCGACGACGGCAUCAGACUCGGAGUAAAGGCCUCGGCCGGUGAUGGAUGGGGA
rnacentral:rRNA from 1 species